CCCAGACUCCUACGGGAGGCAGCAGUGGGGAAUAUUGCACAAUGGGGGAAACCCUGAUGCAGCGACGCCGCGUGAGUGAAGAAGUAUUUCGGUAUGUAAAGCUCUAUCAGCAGGGAAGAAAAUGACGGUACCUGACUAAGAAGCCCCGGCUAACUACGUGCCAGCAGCCGCGGUAAUACGUAGGGGGCAAGCGUUAUCCGGAUUUACUGGGUGUAAAGGGAGCGUAGACGGCAUGGCAAGUCAGAUGUGAAAGCCCGGGGCUCAACCCCGGGACUGCAUUUGAAACUGUUGAACUAGAUUGCAGGAGAGGUAAGUGGAAUUCCUAGUGUAGCGGUGAAAUGCGUAGAUAUCAGGAGGAACACCGGUGGCGAAGGCGGCCUACUGGACUGCAACUGACGUUGAGGCCCGAAAGCGUGGGGAGCAAACAGGAUUAGAUACCCCGGUAAAA
rnacentral:rRNA from 1 species